GAUGAACGCUGGCGGCGUGCUUAACACAUGCAAGUCGAACGAAGCAUUUAGAACGGAUUACUUCGGUUUGAAGUUCUUUAUGACUGAGUGGCGGACGGGUGAGUAACGCGUGGGUAACCUGCCUUGUACUGGGGGAUAGCAGCUGGAAACGGCUGGUAAUACCGCAUAAGCGCACAAUGUUGCAUGACAUGGUGUGAAAAACUCCGGUGGUAUAAGAUGGACCCGCGUCUGAUUAGCUAGUUGGUGAGAUAACAGCCCACCAAGGCGACGAUCAGUAGCCGACCUGGAAGGGUGACCGGCCACAUUGGGACUGAGACACGGCCCAGACUCCUACGGGAGGCAGCAGUGGGGAAUAUUGCACAAUGGAGGAAACUCUGAUGCAGCGACGCCGCGUGAGUGAAGAAGUAAUUCGUUAUGUAAAGCUCUAUCAGCAGGGAAGAUAGUGACGGUACCUGACUAAGAAGCUCCGGCUAAAUACGUGCCAGCAGCCGCAGUAA
rnacentral:rRNA from 1 species